rnacentral:rRNA from 1 species
UGAGCAAUCUGCCCUUCACAUCGGAAUAACCAUUGGAAACGAUGGCUAAUACCGAAUAUGACUUCGGAUCGCAUGAUCUGAAGUGGAAAGCUCCGGCGGUGAAGGAUGAGCUCGCGGCCUAUCAGCUUGUUGGUGAGGUAAUAGCUCACCAAGGCGAUGACGGGUAGCCGGCCUGAGAGGGUGACCGGCCACACGUGGGACUGAGACACCGGCA